UCACCUAAUUUAUUUCCUACCGUUUCUCUUCUCCUCUCCACAUCCUCUUCUCUCUUUUUGGGAUUUUAUCUUCUCGAUCUCUUCCUCUUCUUCAGUGGGUUAUCUCUCUUCGUGACUCUAUCUUCUCUCUUCCUCUUUACCGGUUGUCUUCUCUCUUCGUCGGUUACAAAUGAAAGUAAAGGGGAUAUUGGAUUUGAAGGAAAGGGAAGUAGAAAUGGAGUAAGAAAUGGACAGAAAGCAGCAGGGAAUGUAAAUUCACCAAUUUUGUUAGAGUAGUUGGAUUGGGAGAAGUUUGCAAUUUCUGUUCUGUUACGAACGACAAAAGGUUAAAGCACAAGCAAAGAAGGAAGAGAUUCGAGGAAUGAGUUUGAAGUGAAACCAGUGGCUAAAACUAACAUUUUAUCCUCUUCACCAUACUGUACAACAAACGUUUGUUUUGUGAUUGGAAGAAUUAGUGUUACCAGCAAAAUGUUGUUACUGCAUUUACUUUAGAAAAUAAGACAAUGUGUUUGUGCUUUAAGACAA